rnacentral:rRNA from 1 species
UACGUAGGUGGCAAGCGUUGUCCGGAUUUACUGGGCGUAAAGAGCGCGCAGGCGGUCGUUCAAGUCGCGUGUGAAAGCCCCCGGCUCAACUGGGGAGGGUCACGCGAUACUGAUCGACUCGAAGGCAGGAGAGGGUAGUGGAAUUCCCGGUGUAGUGGUGAAAUGCGUAGAUAUGUGGAGGAACACCGAUGGCGAAGGCAGCCCCCUGGGUCAAAACUGACGCUCAUGCACGAAAGCGUGGGGAGCAAACAGG